CCUACGGGAGGCAGCAGUAGGGAAUAUUGGGCAAUGGAGGGAACUCUGACCCAGCGACGCCGCGUGCGGGAUGAAGGCCUUCGGGUUGUAAACCGCUUUCAGCAAGGAAGAAGCGAAAGUGACGGUACUUGCAGAAGAAGCACCGGCUAACUAUGUGCCAGCAGCCGCGGUAAUACAUAGGGUGCAAGCGUUGUCCGGAAUUAUUGGGCGUAAAGAGCUCGUAGGUGGUUCGUCACGUCGGAUGUGAAAAUCUGGGGCUUAACCCCAGACCUGCAUUCGAUACGGGCGAGCUAGAGUGUGGUAGGGGAGACUGGAAUUCCUGGUGUAGCGGUGGAAUGCGCAGAUAUCAGGAGGAACACCAAUGGCGAAGGCAGGUCUCUGGGCCAUUACUGACACUGAGGAGCGAAAGCGUGGGGAGCGAACAGGAUUAGAUACCCUGGUAGUCCACGCCGUAAACGGUGGGCACUAGUUGUGGGAACCUUCCACGGUUUCCGCGACGCAGCUAACGCAUUAAGUGCCCCGCCUGGGGAGUACGAUCGCAAGAUUAAAACUCAAAUGAAUUGACGG
rnacentral:rRNA from 1 species